CGCUGGCGGCAGGCUUWACACAUGCAAGUCGAGCGGAGAUGAGGUGCUUGCACCUUAUCUUAGCGGCGGACGGGUGAGUAAUGCUUAGGAAUCUGCCUAUUAGUGGGGGACAACAUUCCGAAAGGAAUGCUAAUACCGCAUACGUCCUACGGGAGAAAGCAGGGGAUCUUCGGACCUUGCGCUAAUAGAUGAGCCUAAGUCGGAUUAGCUAGUUGGUGGGGUAAAGGCCUACCAAGGCGACGAUCUGUAGCGGGUCUGAGAGGAUGAUCCGCCACACUGGGACUGAGACACGGCCCAGACUCCUACGGGAGGCAGCAGUGGGGAAUAUUGGACAAUGGGGGGAACCCUGAUCCAGCCAUGCCGCGUGUGUGAAGAAGGCCUUAUGGUUGUAAAGCACUUUAAGCGAGGAGGAGGCUACUGAGACUAAUACUCUUGGAUAGUGGACGUUACUCGCAGAAUAAGCACCGGCUAACUCUGUGCCAGCAGCCGCGGUAAUACAGAGGGUGCGAGCGUUAAUCGGAUUUACUGGGCGUAAAGCGUGCGUAGGCGGCUUUUUAAGUCGGAUGUGAAAUCCCCGAGCUUAACUUGGGAAUUGCAUUCGAUACUGGGAAGCUAGAGUAUGGGAGAGGAUGGUAGAAUUCCAGGUGUAGCGGUGAAAUGCGUAGAGAUCUGGAGGAAUACCGAUGGCGAAGGCAGCCAUCUGGCCUAAUACUGACGCUGAGGUACGAAAGCAUGGGGAGCAAACAGGAUUAGAUACCCUGGUAGUCCAUGCCGUAAACGAUGUCUACUAGCCGUUGGGGCCUUUGAGGCUUUAGUGGCGCAGCUAACGCGAUAAGUAGACCGCCUGGGGAGUACGGUCGCAAGACUAAAACUCAAAU
rnacentral:rRNA from 1 species